CAAACCAGUCUAUAAUUCUAUGAUUCUACAUUGAAUAACCCAAAACUUUCAUUUUUUUUCUGCCUAAAUUGCCCAAGUGUUUGAAAUCAUAUUCACGAUUUUCAUUACAAUUGAAUUCUAGUUUUUGUCACCUCUUAUGUCAACCCUGCCAGUAUUUUAGGUAUUUUUUUGCUUUCUGGAUUUCUCUGCAGCAUCCAGAUGAGCAAGCACUACUGUGUUACUGUGCUGACAGAGCACCCUUAAAUUGGGUUGGAUGUUGGAGGGGAAAUGG